UACAGAGGUCCCAAGCGUUGUUCGGAAUCACUGGGCGUAAAGCGCACGUAGGCGGCUUCUUAAGUCAGGGGUGAAAUCCUGGAGCUCAACUCCAGAACUGCCUUCGAUACUGGGAGUCUCGAGUUCGGGAGAGGUGAGUGGAACUGCGAGUGUAGAGGUGAAAUUCGUAGAUAUUCGCAAGAACACCAGUGGCGAAGGCGGCUCACUGGCCCGAUACUGACGCUGAGGUGCGAAAGCGUGGGGAGCAAACAGG
rnacentral:rRNA from 1 species